rnacentral:lncRNA from 1 species
GUGUGUGUGUGUGUGUGUUAAAUUCAGUUAAGUUCAUGAUAUUCUAUAGUUCAGAAAUCAGGAUUGGUCAAUUUGAUUUGAAGUUAGGCAAACUAUACUAAUGCUAUUCUUCAGUGAAAUCUAGUUUCCUGUGUAAUCAUGCUCUAUGUGUGUGUGUGUGCCCAGGAAGUUGCAUGGACCCUCAGCUAUCGCGAAGUUUGAUCUUGUGGAGGGCGAGAAUAUCGAUUGAUGGAUGUAUGGAGCUUGUAGUGCCACUUGGUCCUAACUGGUAAGUUGGUGGUGUGGAGUGUUGUCUCAUUAGUUGUUUGUUUUGGCACUAURUAGUAGUCAACUCCAGUAGCAMACAUACUUAAACUUUUGAAUUCUAUUUGGUUUUCUUUUAUUUAUGGGUUSAGGCCAGUAGUUGAUCUUUGUUCUCUCUCUCCGCCCAGGUUGUGGUGUGGUUCAGCACCGGCUACAUCACCAUAAAGGACAUGGUGGUCACCGGCAUGCCCAUCAAGAUCGUCGGCGUUGCCGCUCUCAAGGUCCUGCU